GUUUGUGUCGUGUUUCCAGGUUGGCGUCUAAAGGCAUGUCCAUCUCCAGGCCCAACGGCGAGGUGGGAAAAUGUCGGAUGAUUCGACACGAAAGAGACAAACAGAACGAGGCGAACCCUCAGAGGUUCAACAGAAUCGCUCACACCAGAGAGACGAUGCACAAAGACGGGAUCAACUCUCUCUCCUACAAAGUGGUUAAACUGGACAAGUUCGACCUGUUCACUAAAAUCACGGUGGACGUGGGGAAACCGUGAGGCAGAGCAGGAGAGGUCAUGUGACCAGCGACUAGACCGAUGCAGUGAAACCAAAUGCUGACUUUAAUCUGUGGCGUCUGCUCUGAUGAACAAAUGAGCUGGUCUCACUUUUUCUUUUAUUCUUUUUAUUUUGCACGUUCUGACAGAAUAAGGAUUUGUGUUGUUGUAUUCUCUGCAGGGCCUCAAGGAUUGGCUCUGAUUGGCUCUGAUUGGCUCUGAUUGGCCCUGAUUGGCCCUGAUUGGCCGCUGUCUGUAACCAGCAGCUGCCUCGGUCUGUUGGUCCUACGCUGCUGCGACACAUCCCAAACAAGCCUUUUAUUUUGAAAAUCAGACAAUCAGAACAGCAACGAUGGGGCUGCUGGGUGACAUGGUCCAGACAUUUACUGGUGGGGGAUUAUGGGUAAUGAGCAGGUGGUUUAGAUCUGGUCUGAUCCUGAUUCCUCUGAUCUGGAUCAAAACCAACAUGUUUGUGUGAAGUAAUCUGAAUUCAUGGUUCCACUUACAGAUGACCAUGUCUCCAGUUCACUGUGAUCCAAAUUAGAUCCAGUUUACGGUUUGGAUGUACCUGACUGAGUGAUUGUCUAAACUUUAACAGAAACUGAUCCCGGAUCAGAAACAGGUUUAUUCAUUAUUUGUGGAACCAGUUUCACAUCAGAUCUAAACACAGUGAGUGUGUGUAAUUUUAAAAGUUAAUCAUGAUCAGGUUUGUGAUCAAUAUAUUUUAUUCAACUCUUUCUCUUCACAAAAAUCCCUAAAUAUUUGUAUGAAACCAGUUUAUUUAAGUUUCUUAAACUGGACCAGCUCCAGACCAGAGCCUCAGCAGGUCCAGGUUUCAGUCCAGGUUCAUUUCAAGUCCAGGUCUGGAACCAGGUCUGGGUCAGUGUUGUAUCUGCUGAAGAUGUCGACAGUGAAUCCAUGAAAAAUCUACAAUCUUUGUAGCUGUUCUUCUUCAGGUGAUUGACUGUAGCUGUAAAUCUAUCUUAAAUAUUGACUGAUUGAUUGAUUGACUGACUGAUUUAGAUUGAUUGACUGAUUGAUUGAUUGACUGAUUUAGAUUGAUUGACUGACUGAUUUAUAUUGACUGAUUGAUUGUAUCUCUAAGUGUCCUUAUCAGAGCUGUUAGAACCAAAGACUUAGGUCAACAUGAAUGUGAUCAGCUGUUCUCAUCUCACUAUUGAUCAAUCCGACAAACAUACACACUGUGUGUGUGUGUGUGUGUGUUAUAGUGCUUGUAAAUAUCUUGUUUGUUUCUUUAGGAAAUCUUUAUUCUUUUGUUCACAAAUGAAUAGAUGAGUCGGUUCCUCUCUGGUCAUUCAAAUUAAGUUCAUUAAAAUUUGUUUUCGGAUGAA